ACAUGCAGUUCAUGUGUUGCAGGCACUGCCCUAUGCAACCACAUAGUGGCUUUGCUUUUUCAAACUGCACAUUUCUCUCAGCUCAGUGUGCCAGUAGUUCCUCCUGUGCACAGCUGUACUGAAACUGAACAGCGCUGGCACAAACCUCGGACAAUUGGUGUAAAGCCAGGACCAAUCAACAACAUGAUCACCUGUGCCAAAUCAAAAGUCUCAAGGCGUAGUUAGGAGUGGACUCUACAGGGGCAUGGUGGGCCCUUUACCAGAUCCAUGCAUGUU